rnacentral:lncRNA from 1 species
GGUCCACUGAAAUGUUUUUUAAUGAAAAUUAGAAUAUGUGGGGGAAAAAUGCUGGGAGAAGAACAGCUUCCAUCUUCCAUUGAGUGAGACAGCUACUUACCCAGGGCUGCCUUAGGAGUCAGUCAAGAUGGUCACAGACAAUGAACACCAAGCCAAACCCCCAACAAAAGGAAAAGCAUUGUAUAUGUUCAUUCUAAUGAGAGUUUUCCAUUGAAAUACUAUAUAAUUGAAGUUGGAAUUGUCAAGACCACAUCGUGAUAUGAUAUAAAAGAUUAAGUACAGAAAAAUUUUCACAAUGUAGAACAAAAAUGUACACAAGUGUAUUUGUUUCCAAACAUAGGACUUUAAAUCAAUGAAAAU